rnacentral:misc_RNA from 1 species
UUGAAUAAACUUGGUUUAGACUGUUGCUGGUUCCUUAGGGGGCAUGUGCACGUUUACUCCAUCUUUAUAACCACCUGUGCACUUUGUGUAGAUCUGAACGACUCUCGAGUGUAAAAGCUUGGUUUGAGAAAUUGCUGUGCGCACGCCAGCUUUUUCUUAAUGUUCAGGUCUAUGUUUCAUUAUAUACUCCAUAUAAAAGUAUAGGAAUGUUCAUAAGGCGUUCGUGCCUUUAAACUUGUAAUA